AACGCUGGCGGCAGGCCUAACACAUGCAAGUCGAACGCCCCGCAAGGGGAGUGGCAGACGGGUGAGUAACACGUGGGAACAUGCCCUUUGGUUCGGAAUAACUCAGGGAAACUUGAGCUAAUACCGGAUAAGUCCGCAAGGAGAAAGAUUUAUCGCCGAAGGAUUGGCCCGCGUCUGAUUAGCUUGUUGGUGAGGUAAUGGCUCACCAAGGCGACGAUCAGUAGCUGGUCUGAGAGGAUGAUCAGCCACAUUGGGACUGAGACACGGCCCAAACUCCUACGGGAGGCAGCAGUGGGGAAUAUUGGACAAUGGGCGAAAGCCUGAUCCAGCCAUGCCGCGUGAGUGAUGACGGCCUUAGGGUUGUAAAGCUCUUUUGCCCGGGAAGAUAAUGACGGUACCGGGAGAAUAAGCCCCGGCUAACUUCGUGCCAGCAGCCGCGGUAAUACGAAGGGGGCUAGCGUUGUUCGGAUUUACUGGGCGUAAAGCGCACGUAGGCGGAUCCUUAAGUCAGAGGUGAAAUCCCGGGGCUCAACCUCGGAACUGCCUUUGAUACUGGGGAUCUCGAGUCCGGGAGAAGGUGAGUGGAACUGCCAGUGUAAA
rnacentral:rRNA from 1 species